GUGGUUUAGUAGAGGGGGAUGCUGGGGGCUUUUUUAUACUGUACUUUUCAAAAUAAACCUAAGUUUCUAUGAAAAUGAAAGAUGUUUUUUUGUUGCUGCCCACAUAAACUUAAACCUUGUUUAUGUGGCCCGUGCAAGACUUUGAGGUUGACAUUCUUGGUUUAAAGGUUUAAAUGCAUACACAGGGUUUCCAUGUUUGAACAUGAAAUUAGUUUCUUUUUUUUUUUUUUUUUUAAAGAAAAGAAAUAGAUAAGCCAUCAUUUUUAUAUUUCAGUUGUUUGAAAACCAAAUUGAAUGUACACAUUGGUUUUGUUUAAAUGUUUACAGUAUAACAUGCUGUGAGUAGAGAUGAUUAAAAUGUAUCAUGCAAAUUCUAAUUCUGAAACAAAUGCUGCAUUUUACAGACUGAUUUACAAAUGUAAUGUAGUUCAGUAGUUAAUAUAAAUUUAGGUUUGUGUAGGUGUGAAAUAGCUUAGAUAUAGGUGUGAAAUAGCAAGCUACACAAGCAUCCUCAUUUUGGAGACACUGUCUAUUUUUGGAUUCUACUUACCGUAUAUACUCAUGUAUAAGUCGAUCUUAUGUAUAAGUCGAGUGCAGUUUUGUGACCAACAAUUGUGAAAUAUGCUAUGCCUCGUGGAUAAGUCGAGGGUAAAACUUGGGGCUAUGAAAUUCUGUGAUUUUUAUAAUUAUAUACACACACACUCAUACAAACACACACACUCAUACAAACACACACACUUAUACAAACACACUCUGCAUUACACACACACACUCAUACACACUCUGCAUUAUACACACACACACACACACUCAUACACACACACUGCAUUAUACACACAUUCAUACACACUGCAUUAUACACACACACACUCAUACACACUGCAUUAUACACACACACUCAUACACACACUCUGCAUUAUACACACACACACACACACUCUGCAUUAUACACACACUCAUACAAAAACACACUGCAUUAUAUACGCACACAUACAAAUACACACUCUGCAUUAUACACACACUCAUACAAACAAUCUGCAUUAUAUACACACACACACUCAUACAAACACACACUCUGCAUUAUAUACGGACACACUCAUACAAACACACACUCUGCAUUAUAUAAUGUUAUUUUGUGUGAAUGCAGAGUGUGUGUGUGUGUAUAUAAUGCAGAGUGUGUGUUUGUAUGAGUGUGUUUGUGUGUGAACUGGGUGGGGGAGGGCAUUUUUAUUAUUUUUAAUUUUAAUAUUUUAAUUUUUUUAUUUUAGUAUUAUUUUUUUAUUUUAUUUACUUUUUUAAUUUUAAUAUUUUAAUUUUUUUAUUGUAAUUUUUUUUUUAUUAUUUAAUUUUUAUUUUCGUCCCCCCUCCCUGCUUGUUAGCUGGCCAGGGAGGGGGGCUCUCAUUCCCUGGUGGUCCAGUGGAUGGGCUGUGUAGGAG